rnacentral:ncRNA from 1 species
GGCCGAAACGGCAAACCCGGGGUGACCCGGGGACGCAAAGCCACGGGACUCGCGGCCGGCUCCCACCGGCGCGUCGAGUCAGCCGGGCUGCCGAAG